AGAUAACAGUGAUUUGUAUUGUUUUAACUGUUCUUUGAAAUCAUUGUGAUAGUUUUACUCAGAGUUUUAGUGUCAGUGUUACUAAUGACUAAUGAGUAAUACUUAAGGAGUUAAAUUAAUAGACUGAGUAGAUCCAGUAUUGAAUAUAUGUUAGAAUAGAUUUAGUGAAACGGGAGAUUGGAAGGCAACUAGAUCUAGUCUUCUAAAUCUAAUCUAAAAUAAUCUAAAUUAUAUGACGUGAUAUUUUAAUGUUUUUGAGCUCUGCAGGCCUAUUUAUGACUUUAAACAUGAUGAUGAUACAUCAUACAGAUGAUGAAUGGAAUCGGUGAAUGAUCAUCAUAAUAUCAUUCAAUGAUGCUGAACGUGAACCCUAGAUUCAGGAAAUCUUAUCCACAUACAAAGAGUUGACUGAGGUAAAGACUACAGUCUGUGUCUAUCUAACAACAAGAAGCAUGUAAUUGUCUGUGCUACAACCUUAGCCCCUGACAGUCUGAUAGAGUUCCUGAAUGAGUUUUAUGGUAAUUCUAACUUAGAGAGAUGUAAUUCUGCUGUGUUCCUGUGAGUUGGAAACCAGAAAGCAAGUCAUCUACUAGUGGUGUAAUAGAGUCAUAUACAUCAAGGGAUGAGUACUAAAAGAUGUGGACCUGAUGUGGUGUCAUGAAGCUUUUGCUUUCAUCUUUUGGCUGUUCGUUUAACACAAGACAAAGCACAGACUUCUUUGGACAUUUGUUUCUACAUGAGUGUGACAAGGGAACAGCACUCUAACUUAUCAAGAAAACUUUUGGCAAAUUCAGUUUUGAAAACCAAUCCAGUCGUCAAUGGUUAUCCACAGUACCAGGAGCCAUUCAAUCUUGCCCAGCAGACAGGCUCCCAUGAAGUACUUAGUGAUGGUCAAACAAAGUUUAUUAGACAAAUGGUUCUAGAGAAUACAGUAGCUUGGUGGGAUUCUGAUCUGCAUAACAAAUCAAUUAGUGUUGUUGGUUCUUAUACUUGGUAAGUGAUUACUAUAAAAGCCAAACAUAAUAGAAAUAGCAGGUUAGCAAGCUUUACAGAAAGACUUGUUACAGAUGUUGAUAUACAGGGUGACCCAAAAGUAAGUUUACAGUUAUUAAACUACCUUUCAUAUGGUUGAAGCUACUUGCUUAGUAAUACCAAUAAAAACAUUCCUCAGAGUAUAAAUUAUCAGUUUUAAUGGUAAACAUGAUAGCUAUGAUAGCUACAUUGUGAUAAAAUAGUUGAUACUUGUUUAUGUUGGUGUA